rnacentral:rRNA from 1 species
AGCGAACGUUUGCGGCGGGCUUAACACAUGCAAGUCGAACGAGAAUCCCUUCGGGGAGGAAAGUGGCGCACGGGUGCGUAACACGUGGAUAACCAACCCAUUGGUUUGGGACAACACCGGGAAACUGGUGCUAAUACCAGAUGUGUCGCAGCUGUCUUCAGGCGGUUGCGAGAAAGGCCCGCAAGGGUCGCCAACGGACGGGUCCGCGUCCCAUCAGCUAGUUGGUGAGGUAAUGGCUCACCAAGGCAAAGACGGGUAGGCUGGUCUGAGAGGAUGAUCAGCCACACUGGAACUGAGACACGGUCCAGACUCCUACGGGA